CACGUAGGGCGCAAGCGUUGCCCGGAAUUAUUGGGCGUAAAGAGCUCGUAGGUGGUUUGUUACGUCCGCUGUGAAAUCCUAGGGCUUAACCCUGGGCUUGCAGUGGAUACGGGCAGACUAGAGGUAGGUAGGGGAGAAUGGAAUUCCUGGUGUAGCGGUGAAAUGCGCAGAUAUCAGGAGGAACACCGGUGGCGAAGGCGGUUCUCUGGGCCUUACCUGACACUGAGGAGCGAAAGCGUGGGGAGCGAACAGG
rnacentral:rRNA from 1 species